UAUCUUAUUAAGGAGCAGUCUGAAAUUAUAGUUUUUUUUAAAUCUGCCUUAAUUAGUUAAUUAAGGUUAGUUUCAAAUUGUAUUCAGCCCAGAUAGUUUUAAAAAGUUAAGAUCUAGCUGGAUGGUGAUGGUGGUGCAUGCCUUUAAUCCCAGCACUCAAGAGGCAGAGGCAGGCAUAUUUCUGUGACUUCCAGACCAGCCUGGUCUACAGAGUGAAUCCCAGGACAGCCAGGACAGUUGCACAGAGAAACCCUAUCUUGAUGAUGAUGAUGAUGAUGAUGAUGAUGAUGAUGAUGAUGAUGAUGAUGAUGAUGAUGAAGAAGAAUAAUUAUAAUAAAUAAAUAAAGAUGUUAAGAUUCCACUGUGUUCUUAAAGAGCAGCUUGGACCACUGAAGCAUCUGGAAUGACCUCCAGGUAGCCCUGAACCAUGACCCAGACCUUCUGUAACAUAUGCCCAGGCUUGCUGGUCUGACCAGGAGCAGGGCCACCUACAUAGAAGAAUGACUCCCAAACAGGGCAGACACUAUUCUAUGCCCCUUGCUCUAAGUACUUCUCCCAUAACAGGCUGUUCUGGAGUGAAAGAAAGAUCACCAAGGCUCGGGAGUGGUUCCAUCGCACCGUGAAGAUUGAUUCAGAUCUGGGGGAUGCCUGGGCCUUCUUCUACAAAUUUGAA
rnacentral:lncRNA from 1 species